GGGAGAGUAUGGUUGCAAAGCUGAAACUUAAAGGAAUAGGUGGAAGGGACCACCAGGAGUGGAGCCUGUGGCUUAAUUUGACUCAACAUGGGAAGAAUCACCCAGCCCAGACACGGACAGGAUUGACAGACUGAUAGCUCUUUCUCUGUUCCAUGGGUGGUGGUGCAUGGCCUUAGUUGGUGGAGUGUUUUGUCUGGUUAAUUCCGAUAACCAAGGAGACUCUGACAUGCUAACUAGUUAUGCGACCCCUGAGCGUCGGGGUCCCCCAACUUCUUGGAAGGACAAGUGGCGUUCAGCCACCCGAAAUUGAGUAAUAACAGGUCUGUGAUGCCCUUAGAUGUCCGGGGCUGCACGUGCGCUACACUGACUGGCUCAGCAUGUGCCUACCCUACGUGGCAGAGGCGGGUAACCUGUUGAACCCCAUUCGUGAUGGGGAUGGGAGAUUGCUAUUCCCCAUGAGGGAGGAAUUUCCAGUAAGUGCUGGUCACAAGCUUGCCUGAAGUCCCUGCCCUAGGUACACACUGCCCCUCGCUACUACUGAUAGGAUGGUUUAGUGAGGCCCUCGGAUCGGCCCUGCCGGGUCAGCCCACUGCCCUGGCAGAGCGCUGAGAAGACAGUCGAAUUUGACUAUCUAGAGGAAGUAAAAAUCUUAACAAAGUUUCGGUAGGUGAACCUGCGGAGG
rnacentral:ncRNA from 1 species